rnacentral:misc_RNA from 1 species
UGCGGCUGCGUCUGGCCAACACUGUUAAGUAUAUAUACAAGCACCUAUACGCGCACGCACCUGCGUCAUCUCCCCCUCGUUCGAGGCCUCCUGCCCGCCACAUUGGUUUGCUUCUGCUUUUGUCCUCUCCGCAGGCGCACCAAGAGCACCCUGCCCUGCCUCGCAAGCUUCGUGUGUCUCUCCUCCCCUUGUAGACCUCCCUCCCCCGUCCCCAAUGGACACGCUGCCACGUGGCCGCACAGGCUCGAUGACGCUCCAUGCAGCCACCACGUCCACCUCUAGCGCUAGCUCCUCUGCCGCCGCCUUGUCCUCCUCGCCUCUCCAGGAUGAAGAGCUUCUCAUCGACUGCCAUGAGCGCCGCCGCCUGGAGCAGACAGAAGCGGAUUACAUGAACUACUCUGUUAUGCUGUGUCGCUCAGGACGGAUGCAGCAACACGGGCAGCUGCGCGCAAUGGUGUGGCGUGAUAUCGUGAUUGGACGCAAGAGGGUUACCGCGGUGCCACAGCUCAGUGAUGGCAUUAUCCGCCAGCUGCAAGAGGAGACCCGCUUGCAGACGAGGCAUGGCAGUUACAACCACAGUAGAGAGGGCACGUGCAUGAGUGGCUCCCUAGACUCCUUCGCCAGCCCUGUGGCGGAGGUAGAAGAGCGCCACCCCAAUGGCAAAGGUGCCCCGAGCCGGGCGCCUGAAGUGAAGCAACGCAAAGACGGCAGUGGUGUCAGCAGCGACUCUUCUCUCCGGGGAAGCUCCUUGUGCACCGGCGCUGGACUCGCACCUAGCACGGCGGCGGCAUCACUACGUCGCCACCGCCACCCCUCGCUAGAGCUUCCACGGCCAGUGCCUCCGACAGAACAAAUAGAGGAGGCCGCUGACGGUUGCGGUAGCGCUGGCGACGAGAAGCCACUAGUUUUCGCACCAGUUCGACGGCGCGCCCUCUCACAGCUCUCGCGACGCGUGAAAAGCGACGCCGGCCACUUCCUCGAGCUCGCUAAGGACGUGUCGAGUCGAAACGAGACGCCUGCGCAGGACUUCUCCGGCAGUGUGCUGUGGCCCAUGUCGUGGUACCAUUUGCCCGACAACUGCCAGCCGCGCGUAGUGGAGGCAGACAUCGAGCGCUCGCUAUGGACUUUGUAUCCGCACUCGGCAGAACGCACGGAGCAACGACGGCGGUUGAAGAACAUGAUCCUGCGCGUACUCCUGCACAACCCAGAGCGCUUCUACUACCAGGGCUUGCACGAGCUCAUGGGCUAUAUGAUGUACAUGCUGAGUCCGUACACGGAGUGGGAGGAAGUGGUGUCGGUGUGCGAGAAGCUUCUGGUAACUCGUUGGAAACGGUUCAGCGCGCGCCAGCUGAAGAGCUCCGAGGCGAUGCUGUACGCCAUGCACGCCAUCAUUGCGCAGGAAGACCCUCCCUUGGCUGCUGCCCUGGAGUGGUGCGGGGUGGGACCGGAGUCCCAUUAUGCUGUCUCCUGGAUGAUUACGUGGUACGUGCACUGCAUCGACAGCCCAGAGGUGUUGGCCCGGCUCUUCGACUACUUCUUGGUGGAUGAGGAGGGUUCCGCCGUCAUCUACUUCACUUCCGCCUUCGUCGUGAGCCAACGCGAGACGAUCUUUGAGUGGAUACACAACGCCAAGGAGGAGAUGGGGGUCAGCACGGGUGCCACGGAGGCCAGUGACGACGGCAUCAUGCUCAUGGCCCGCGUCUACGCCCAGCUCUCACGGCUGCCCAGCAACGUGCUCGACGGCAUAGAUCAGGACACCCUGAACGCGCUCCUGGAACAGGCAGAGCAGUACUGCACGCUGCAUCGGCACACGGUGCGGCAGGAGGAGCAGAACUUUCUCAAUGGCAACAUCAAAAGGCUCGGCCUGCUGUCGAACCAGCACACUCGUGAUGCGGCACUCCAGCUGCUCUGGCACUUUCUGCCGCGAGAAUGGCGCAACCCCGCCAAGUCAGAGCACGUGCGUCGCGUGCUGUUCUGGACGGGCCUCAUGGUCGCAGCAACGGCGGUGGUCGUGGGGACGGCAAGGGCGGAUUUGAAGCCGGGUGAGUGGGUGCAUGGUCUGCUACACCGCUGAGCAUCCGCCCCUGCCGCCCUUCAUAUUGUGUCUCCGUCGCCCGCCACUUUGGCUGCUUCACAAGAGUCAGUGGUUAUGUCUCGGAGAGCGUGCAGGACGGUGCUCAGCGCGAUGGAUUGUGCGGUUGCUGUGAACGCUGCCGCUGACGGUGGCGGUAUAGCGGUGGCAGGAGCUCCGGUCCAUCGCUUUUCUUUCUUGCGCCGAAAGGGCUCCUCUCGUUGUUUCUCUUGCCUUUUACUAUUACGCAUGUCGGCUUAGGGAUCUUGCGCUUCCACACGAUCUCCCCAGCGUGCAAGUGCGCGCACGUGUGAGUGGCGAAUACACAACUCGACGGCUCUUGGUGGUGUGGAUGAGCACGGAAAGGGCCCACAACAGGAAUAGAAUGGAUGCGGCGCACAUGCCCACCCCACCGCCACGCACACCACUGCCCCUCUCGCCAAUGUGCUCUGUUUCGUGCGCUCAUUCUUUCCAUCCCCUGAUGACGUGGGGCUACCUGAUCCUGGUAUCGGUGCCCAGUGUCCCAGCUCUUUGCGGAGAAGCCAAAGAGCCUGCACGCUGCUCGCGAGUACGGCUGUAGCCUCUCGGUGUCAGCGGGCACAGGGCUGGGCUGGCAGUGCGCUGCGAAACGCGCCAACGGUUCAACAAUGAUACGCACCCAGCUGCUGUGCUUCUGUGUUUGCUGCGCUGCGCUGAUGCGGAGCGUACUCCCGGACCGAGUCUGUGCUGCCUGCCGUGGCAUCGCAGCGGGCUGAACGUCGCCAAACGGUGCUGUUUGGCGCGGCUCCUUGGUGAAUCCUCGAUGCAAGUCUGCACUCUGCAAGAGGCGCGUCUCACCACGGCAGGCCUACAACGGCAUCUGGCCUCCCGGGUUUUCAGCAUUCCGAUGCAGCAGGAAAAAAGAAGCACGGCACUGGCGUCUCGGUGCUCACGCAGCACGACAUACGGGCCGAUGUAGGCCCCCCUCCCGGUUCCCGAGGGCGGGGUUGCAGCAGUGGCGCUCUGGCUUUGCUGCGGUGACCCUGCUCGACAGAUACACACCUCACGUCCGGCUACACGGCUAAGAGUGACCUGGUGGCAUGGGAAGCUCUCUCGAUCCGGUGCCAAGCGACGUCGCACUGAGUUUUCGCAUGAUUCGAAUGGGCGCCAACGCGGACCUCCCGUUGUGGGACGCGAAAGGGCGAUCCGACCGGGCCGGGGCCACCCCUGCACGACUGGUCCAAUGCCGAAUGCUGGGCCUGUGCAAGCGGUAAAGACACCUCGACAUGGCACCGCCACCACGGCGCAAUUCGGGCCACCGUCCACUUUGAGGAGGGGGUAUGGCCCGGGGGCCGCCAGAGAUGGCUAGCGCCGAAUCAUACUCCCUCCAGGAGGCGAUGUGGAAACUGUGCCGCUCCGUGGCUGCCAAAUCGAUCCGCAAAAAUGGCGCCUACACCACAGCAGCACAGAAGCGGAGACGCACGAGCUUCAGAGCGCCGCGCUGAACCCCGGCUACGACGACAAACCCGAAAGCGCGCCAGCGAGCAAAGGUGAAUCGCCCACGCCGUCACACCCGACCACACAGACACAACUGGGAUCGUAGCGAAGGCCACCGGGAAGGCUGUCCCAUCUGGUAGAGCAGCCUACAGGCAGCUCUGGACGCCAAAACGGACGCGAUGAAAAGCAGCGCUCGAGAGGGUCCCCUGCGCGUUGCCCGAGCAUCGGCCUCUCUUGGAUAUGCUCGUCAAAGAGCCUGACGAGCUGGCCUUGAAGCAUGGACACGAUCCAGCAGCGCCGACGACCCCCCCCCUCUCUUAUCUGCGCACCGCAUGCACCGGCAAUGCGACAAGACGACCGCUACCUGAGUGCGCAAGAGCAGUCCAGCGUAUUGGUGAAGAUGUGCCAGCAGAAGUCAGCGCGACAUCCGGCAGUCCCCCUCCGCGUCCCACGGGGCCUAAACCCCACGCCCCUCAAACCGUUCGCGAUGGGUGAGCUCGAGGCGGCACUGCGCCAAGUUCCCUGUGAGAGUGUCAAGGCCCCCCACGAUGCACGGCAGGAGAGCACUGCUGAACAUCUGCAGCCGUAGCGCCGCCACACUGGCCCUGUCCCUGCUACAUGGAAAGGAGGGGCUCAUUGCGGCUCCUCCUGAAGCCGCACAAGCCCGAUGAUGAUCCCGCGCCUUACCACCCUGUAACGCUGACCAGCAAUCCGUGCAACUUACCUGAGCGAAUCUUCUCACGACCAGUGCGCGGCCAUCUGGAAGACAAGCUCCAGCCACAGCAGCCUGGCCUCCGUCCUCACCGCUCCACCGUAGACCCCCUGGACUUGCUCCUCCGCAAAGUAGUGCAGUCCAGCCAGCUACGAUGGCCGGGGCGGUGUUUGUGGACUGCGCUCGCGCGUUCGACUGGGUCGAUAGCGACGCUGUCAUCGCGGCGCUGAGGAAGUUCAGCGUAGCGCCGCAACUUACUCGCGGGAUCAUGGGGACCUCUGAGAUGAUCGUCGCGCCUGUGUUUGCUUCCACGAGAAGCGGUUGAAGAUGGCAAGAGAGCCCGUUAGGCGCAUGGCUCCGAUUCGACGGCAGGGACGGCUCAUCCUAGACGACGAGGAUGUAGCCGCAUUGUGGCAGAGGUAGAUGAGCUGUGGUUGCGUAUGCGUGUACGUGUCCUGACUUGUUCGUGGCAGAAACGGGCACGGUGGAAAGAAGAGACAUUCACGCUGCCCAUAAAAGCUCGUAUUGCACGCCGCUAAGUUCCACCCCAUCGUGCCACCAACCGUCCUUGAGUCCCAUAGCGGCGUAGGCUUUCUCUGCCAGAGUACCGUGUUGUCUGUUCAAGCUCCCGAGAUCAAGCGUAGGCAUUAGCCGCGUAUGGCCAAUGAAUGGUUUUCGAUCCUUCUGCAGCUGCCAUCGAAAGCUUCUCCACGCACGAGGUCGAGGGCGCACACACAGGCAAACAACGGCGCUGUGUCUGCAGCCCCCGCCCCCCCCCUACUUACCUAUAUUGGCUCUUCUCUUGUCUUCCCCUCCCUCUGUGGCACCCUUUAUCUGUCUCUGAAG